AAAAUUCUAAAAAAAAAUUCAUCUUGGAUUUUAGACUGAAUAAUUUGUGAAAAAUACAUGACUUUUGUAAUGUGGUAAGAGUAGUAUGUGUUUUUAGCCGUUAUGUAUCUUGGAUUCUAGAUUUUAACCCGCGGUACAUAUCUUGGACGAUUUUUCUUUAUAAAGUUAGUAUAUAUAAAAGUUUGUAAAUUGUAUCUAUAAAAUAUUUUUAUUUUAUAGUUUACAAUUGUUAUUAAGUAACGUCCUGCCAAACUCAUCCCGUAAAAAUAAUCUAUUUAUUUUAUUAAUGUUGAUCUUAUUUAUGAUAUGUUUGUGAAUCAUUGUCUAAAUAUUUUAGUCGAUGCGGGACGCUGAACCCACACAUUUUUUGUCAAUUGGUUAAUAUAUGUUCAUUUUUAAAAUUUCGAAUUACAAAAUAUGACGGAAAAAAAUUUUGGUGACGGAAUUUUUUUUGAGAUUUUUUUAAACUCUAUAUAUUAUAUGAUGAUGUCAAAAAAUUGUGAUA
rnacentral:sRNA from 1 species